ACAUACGAUCAUAGCUCGCAGAGAACUCGGGAUCCCGUCCGCUCUCCCAUAGAUAAGCUGCGAAGCGCUGGAUUAGUAGUUGGGUCGGUGACGACUAGCGAAUCGAAUCCCCGGUGUUGUAUGUU
rnacentral:rRNA from 1 species